rnacentral:rRNA from 1 species
AUGACGUCAAGUCCUCAUGGCCUUUAUGACCAGGGCUACACACGUACUACGAUGGCCGGUACAAAGGGCAGCGACACAGCGAUGUGAAGCCAAUCCCGAAAAGCCGGUCUCAGUCCGGAUUGGAGUCUGCAACUCGACUCCAUGAAGUUGGAAUCGCUAGUAAUCGCGGAUCAACACGCCGCGGUGAAUACGUUCCCGGGCCUU